rnacentral:lncRNA from 1 species
GGGGGCCGCUGGGAAGUGUUAUCCUUCGUCUAACGGACCGAGGCCGGUGCUGCCUUCAUUCGCCGCCGGCCCGGACCUUAGUGGCGCCCCAACUAGGGCCGCACCGGCUCUGCCACUUGGGCGGUGUGGAAGCGUGGGAUUGGGGCCUGUGUCCGCGGGCUUGGUGGUUCUUCAGGUAUUAAGGAUUCAUUCAUUCAUCCACUCAUCAUUUAUUGAAAGCUGUGUGCAACAGGAAUUAUUAUAGAUGAUUGGGAUAUGGCAUUGAACAAAGGAGACAAGCUCUCUGCUAUCAUGGUACUUACAUUGUUGUGGGCCAGGUAAUAAAUAAGGUAAGUUAAAUAUAACAUACAUUAAAUAGCAAAAAAUUGUAAGAGGAUAGGUAAAGCAGAAGGAUAUGUAGAAUCAGGGAUGGGACUUGGUGUUUUAGAUGGGGUAGCUAGGAAUGCAUCCUGAAUAUGUAAUAAUAAAGAUAUGAAGGAGCUAGUUAUGCAUUUAAUUAAGGGAAGCAGUUAUAAAAGCCUUGCAUUUCCUGUCAUGGCUCAGUGGUAAUGAACCUGACUAGUAUCCAUGGGGAUGCAGGUUCCAUCCCAGGCCUUGCUAAGUGGGGGUCUAAUCAGAGCUACAGCUGCUGGCGUACACCACAGCCACAGCAACGCCAGAUCCGAGCCUCGUCUUCAACCUACACCCCAGCUCAUGCAAUGCCAGAUCCUUAACCCUCUGAGCAAGUCCAAGGAUCGAACCUGCAAUCUCAUGGUCAGAUUCGUUUCCACUGAGCCACAAUGGGAACUCCAUUACACAAUAUUUUUUAAUCUGAGCAACUUGAAGAAAGGAGUUAUUAACUGAGAAGGGAAAGAAGGUAAGAAAAACCAAUUUGGGGCAUAGGAAGCUAGUGAGAUUUUAGUUUGGAGUAAGUAUGAGAUGCCCAUUGGACAUUCAGGUGGAAAUAAUAUUAAGUUAGCAGUGGAUAUACAAGUCUGAAGUUCAAAAAAAAAAAAAAAAAAAAAAAAAAAAACGAUCUGAGACCUAGAUUGGAGACAUACAUUUUGGAAUUAUCAGCAGAUAGGUAAUGUGUAAGGCUAAUAGACUGGAUGAAAUGAGGAGGAAUCGGCAAAAGAGACUGAGAGGGAAUGUUUAGAAUGGUCGAAAGAAACCCAGGUGAGUGUGAUAUCCUGGAAACCAAAGGAAAAAUGUGUUUUAAUGAGAACUGUGUUAGAUGCUACUGAUAGGCCAAGCAAAAGAGGACUGAAAAAGGAAUGUUUCCUUUAGCGGUGUUUACUGAAAAUUGUUGGUGACCCAGAAGAAGAGUCGCAGUGGAGAGAGCCAGAGAAGAAAAAUUGGUGAUAACAAUAUAAACAACUCUUAAGUUUUUUUCCUAAAUAGGAAUGAAAUAGAGUAGUAGAGUUAAGAGUUAUCUAAUAACUCUAUAUAUCAAUUGAAAUGACUGAACAGAAAUUUGAUGAAGCAAAAGAGAAAGGGGAAAAUGCUAUAGACAUGUCCUUAAGUAGCAGGAGCAAAUGUUAGGGGUUUGAGGAGAGAAAAAGAGUAAAAUAAUCACUUAGAGUGGGACAGAGAAUAGAGAAAUAUGAUUUUCGGGCAGCAUUAAAGACCACUUGAUGUUAGUUUUCAGGAAUUUAAAGUGAGCCUGUUUCAUGUGGUUGCUUGAUUUUUCUUCUGCAGUAUUCAUCUGCACAGUUAGAGCUACAGUGUGGCCCUAAAAAGACAAAAAAAAAAAGGCUAUUAGCCUGAAAUACUAGAGGAAGUAAGGUAGAGAGACAGAAGGGUAUUUUUCCCUUUAGUUGCCAAAUGUUCAAAAUAGAAGUAUCUCUUUUUACUACCAUACUCACUUUAGAAAACAUGUAUGAUUGUUAGCUAUAUUUCACUAAGAGUAAAAAAAAAAA